UACGAAGGGGCUAGCGUUGUUCGAAAUUACUGGGCGUAAAGCGCACGUAGGCGGAUCCUUAAGUCAGGGGUGAAAUCCCGAGGCUCAACCUCGGAACUGCCUUUGAUACUGGGAUAUCGAGUCCGGGAGAGGUGAGUGGAACUGCGAGUGUAGAGGUGAAAUUCGUAGAUAUUCGCAAGAACACCAGUGGCGAAGGCGGCUCACUGGCCCGGUACUGACGCUGAGGCACGGAAAGCGUG
rnacentral:rRNA from 1 species